AUUGAACGCUGGCGGCAGGCCUAACACAUGCAAGUCGAGCGAGCGGCGGACGGGUGAGUAAUGUAUGGGGACUGCCCGAUAGAGGGGGAUAACUAAUGGAAACGGUAGCUAAUACCGCAUAUGAUCGGAUAACCCAUAUGGGAUUAGCUAGUAGGUGAGGUAAUGGCUCACCUAGGCGAAGAUCCCUAGCUGGUCUGAGAGGAUAAUCAGCCACACUGGGACUUAUACACGGCCCAUACGCCUACGGAGGCACCAGUGGGGUAUAUUGCACAAUGGGCGCAAUCCUGAUGCAGCCAUGCCGCGUGUAUGAAGAAGGCCCUAGGGUUUUAAAGGACUUUCAGUCGGGAGGCGUUACCGACAGAAGAAGCACCGGCUAACUCCGUGCCAGCCGCCGCGGUAAUUC
rnacentral:rRNA from 1 species